rnacentral:RNase_P_RNA from 1 species
GAAGCAAAUCGGGCAGUCGCUUUUUAUUAUAAAAGAGGAAAGUCCGAACACCGAAGGGCAGCGAGCCGGAUAACGUCCGGGCGUUUGAUGAAAAUUAAACGACGACAAGUGCAACAGAGAACAGACCAGCCGCUUUGAUUUUGGAUUGUGGAUUUCGGAUUUCGGAAUCAAUGAUUUGAAAUUAGUGGUGAUGGGUGAAACGGUGAGGUAAGAGCUUCACCAGCGCGUUUGGUGACAGGCGCGGCUGGGUAAACUCCUCGCGGUGCAAGACCAAAUAGAAAAACGCUUGAUUAUUGAGUUGCCCGCUUAAAAGUUUGAAGAAAUUCAAACGGCGUUUUUGGGUAGGUCGCUUGAGCUGUUUGGCGACAAACAGCCUAGAUGAAUGAUUGCCGUCUGUUUAUACAGAUACAAAAUUCGGCUUAUAGAUUUGUUUCAAAU